UGGGAAUGUCAACAUGCUCAACAGAGGACAUCCCAGAAAAAUCAGGCAUUUCUUCAUCCUGGUAGGGAGCAGCAUCCUCAGCAACAUUUUGAGAAGCAUUGUCUGAGACAGUAGGUGCAACAGCAUUUUCAGGAACAUGUGCAGCAACAUCUUCGGAAACAGGAUGUUGAGAGGAAAUUGCUGCCAUGUUGGACUGAAAUGUCUCCCCCUGAGUUGAUGCUGGUGGAGAUGAGUCUUGUAGAGCUUGAGGAGAGAGCUUGGGCUUGGUUCUGCAAAAGUAGGAUCUCCUUCUUCGUCAUCAGUUUCUUCAUCAACCAAAUGAAGGCCUCUUGGUGGGUUUGGCCUAACUGGAGUGCGACCGACUCUGUCGCUUCUUCUUCCACCUCUGCC
rnacentral:lncRNA from 1 species